GGCCGAAUGCCGCCCCCAGCUGUGUGCAGUCGCUGGCACAAGUUCAUGGCUCCUGCUCGACUGACACAAGAAUGAAGAAAAAAAGACACCCCCUCCCAUUUGGCAAGGGUGCCAACAUGACCCAGUGGGGAAAGAAGAGUCUUUCACAACUGGCCCUGAAACAACUGGCUAGCCACACGCAAAAGACUCGCAUCGGAUCCCGACCUCCCGCUAUAUAUAAAAAUUAGUUCAAAGUGGAUCAAAGAUCCAAACACAAGAGCAAAACCAUAAAACUCUUAGAAGAACACAGAGGGACAAAUCCUCAUGACCUAGGCUCGGCAAAGGACCCUUAGAUACAACACUAAAUGUAUGAUAACGAAAGCAAACGGAGUUAAAUUGGACUUCUCAAAACUAAAAAGUUUUUGUGCCUCAAAGGACGCCGUCAAAAAGGCGAUAAGACUUCACACGGAAUGGGAGAAGCUAUUUGCAAAUCAUAUAGCUGAUAAGGGACUUGUAUCCAGAAUAUGUAAAGAAUGCUCACCACUCAACAAUAAACGGACAAAUAACCUGAUUUUUAAAAUGAGCAAACGAUAGGAAAAGACACUUUUGCAGGGCAGGUAUGCAGAGCGGCCAGGAAGCACGUAAAAAGGUGCUCAGCCGCAUCGGUCAUGAAGCAAAUGCACAGCAAAACUGCGAUGAGGAGCCACGUCCUGCCCACCGGGAUGGCUAGAAUCCACAAGUCCAGUAAUAAGUGUGGGCAAGCGUGUGGACACAGGGCAGCCGCGCACACGUGGCUGGAGGGAUAGGAAAUGGUCAGGCUGCUCUGGAAAACACUGUAGCCAUUUCUCACGGGAUUAAACAUCGGGGCUUGUCACCUGACCCGGAAGUCCAGUCCUAGGUGUCAGGGAGACACACAAACAAAUGUCACCUGUACGCAAGUGUCGUUAGCAGCAUUAUGCAUGGUGGCCAGAAACAAUCCAGGUUCCCAUCAAGUGAAUGGUAGAUACACAGAGUGUGGUUUGUGCAGACGACGGCGUAUUAGUUAUUCAGCCAUGAAAGGGGAUGAAGGAAGGGCCAGUGAGCAUCCAUCUCCGUAACAGAUAGGAGUUGUCACAAGAGAUAAACGGCGGGUGACUCCACGCCUCUGAAAGUCAAGGGCAGGGAAGUCUAGGAAGACAAAAAGUGGAUUCGUGGUUAUGUAGGGCUGGGCUGGGAGUCAGAGGGUAAGGCUGCCACAGCCAAAGGUUAUGGGGUUUCUUUCCCGAGAUGAUGAAAAUGCUGGUGGGUUUUGUUUUUUUUUUUUUAAUGUUCUAAAAUGACCCUGAAGUACUGUUUACACAUAGCUGUGCGUAUAUGAAAGACCAUUGGGUCACACACUUAAAAUGGGUGGAUUGUGUGGCAUAUGAAUUCUAUCUCAAUAAAGUGCCUUUUAAAAA